CUAAACCCAUUUUGGCAGUUGUACUUAUAUACACUCGGAAUGAGUUUUUAGAAAUUUGACAACGUUGACACCGAGAAAACUGUAGUCAACGAAAUAUUGAAGCAAAAAUUGUGAUUUUCGAUUGUCAAUUAAGGAAUUUUCGUCUGGAAUUGAUAGGAAUUGGAAUAAUUCUAGGGUUUUUGAGGUUCAUGAGGUGGUCAUGGUAGCACAAUGACUGCCGGAGCUAUGGAUUCGGUAUUUGGCAGACUCUACUUAUGUCUGAUUUGCGUUAAAGGAUGGACAACAUGACCAAGAUUAUCUUCAAUAGAUAUCUUCAAAGAUGUUGACCUUGGAGACUAGUGCUCGAAAUGGUAUUCAGCCAAAUCCUGCAAGUAGUGGUUGAAUAAGGGUAGCAAACGCAAAAAAUCAACUCUCCAGUGUUGAUGAUGAAGAAUAGAACCUCUCAAAACCUUGACCUGAAGAGUAUAAUGGACGAGAUUGAUGAUUUGAUAACAUCGACCUGAAAAGUAUAAUGGACGAGACUGAUUAUUUGCUAAGAAAUGCUGAUUUUUGCUUCGCUCCGGCUACAGAGAACCAAAACAGUGGCCGAUCAUCUAGCUAUAUUAGCUACAAGCAAAGCCAAUUUUUUUGUAAGGGCUCUCCAAGUUAUAUUGUCAGUAUGAGAUAAUUGGAUCGGGUGAAGGGCCAAAACUUUGUAGUUAAGCGUGUAUUCAAGGAAAAAUGGUCUGAAACUCGUGGAAAGACACCAAGACUGUCAUGAGGACACUACGAAAAGUUGAAUGCCUCUAUAUGUUGUGAAUUUGUGCAGAAAUUUGAUGGGGUUAGAAUAGAUCGAACUCACUGAUAAUCUUCUUCAGCUUUAAAUGAUGGAAUUUACACCGAAAGGGAGGUCUUAGUAAUGCUAAAAUGAGUUUGCGUAUUAGCAAUGAUUCUGUAUGUGCCUCAUAGAAAAUCUCAUAUGUUGUAUUUCUAAUAUUGAAAUCUUUUCUGACAGAUUGUUUUGUAUAAACCUAAUUACUUCAUUCUGCUGUUGAAAAUCUGCUCUCUGUAGCCACGAAGUGUACAUGAAAUUUUAGAUGCUUGAA